GUGAAGCAGCAACUAGAAAGAGAAAAGAAUAAGGCUGAAUCUAGCUAAAAGCUGUUUGAUUGUAUGUGAGUCAAAAUCUGGACCUACUAAGAACAAGGCAGUUAAAAGAAGAAAAAUAAUAGAAGAGUCAUCAUCAGAUGAUGAAGAGUGCUUCUGCCUCGACUGUGUGGAGCCAUUUUCAAACAGUCGUCCAAAAGAGUCGUGGGUAAAAUGCAACAAAUGGGCCCAGGAUGCUUGCACCUCAGUCCAGGCAAUUUAUGUGUGCCAGAAUUGUGACUCUGAAGAUGAGUCUGAUUAGUCAGAUACAGGGAAUCUGUUUUGUUCAGAGGUUAAAGAUGUUAAGUUAAGCGAGUUAUCGGCAGUAUUUCAUUCAGUUAUCAUGGAUCUAUGUGUGCAAGCCAGAGAACGUUUGAGUUUAAAGUUCAAGGUAAAGUGGUCUUGCCACUUAAUAUGUUUUGAUUGAAAUGUGGAUUUUUUGGAUGGAAAUAUUUAUUUUCCCAAAUUCUCUAGGGAUGAUUUUUUUUUAUAUAUUCCCAGUUCUGGUUUGAAUUUUAAAGUUAAAAUCAAUAAUCACAAUUAAGUAGUUGUGUUCUUAUUUUUAGAUAAUCUAGUGUGACAACUUACCCGCCGAUGGGGCAAGUUUCCACAAGUGCACAUUCUCUAUUCAACAGCCUACAAUUUCGUAAUGAUAUAAGAUAUGAAAAUGUAAUGAAUAGAACAUAUGUGCCCAAGACUUCCUUCUUUCAUUUGGUAUGACAAAUAUAUCAUUGUGAUGUAUGGUGCUCAUUAAAUGUUAGACAGUUUGAAAAGUGUGACAACUUACCCCGCUGUCCUACAAAAAAAAUAGUCUCAUGACAUUUUUGUAAUAUUAUCUCAUAAUUCUGGUGGUUUUGGUGUUAUAGGCUUGAACUGGGACAAAGAAUCAUCCCGUGGAGAAGACCCACAAAGAUGUGCAGCCGGGUCGGUGCUUUCCUUUCCGCCGGAAAGGUUGGAGUGGUGGCUAUCUCCCUCUGCCUUCAAAAAAAGUUUCACUCAGUAGCUAUCUUUUAUGGAGAGAGAGAGAGAGAGAGAAAAAAAGAACUUAACUAUAUUAGAAACUCACACAUAUUUUUUACGUUUGUUAAAAAUUUGCAGAAAGGUUUUUUGCGAGCGACCCAAUUAAAGCAACAAUCAUAAUGACAGACUCACUAUUUAAAUAAGAUUUGAUUUGUUUUAUUCAACAAAGUUGUUAAGCCUUUACAAUGAGGUCAUACAGUAUUUCUGCCCAAAUCCACAUAAAGAUACAGAAAAUGACAUAAAGAGUGGAAAACAGCACACAGAGUAAAUAGAAAUAGAUGUUAAAAAUGUAGAAAGAGAUUGAAGAUUACAUGUCCAGAGGUUAAAAUUACAAUUACAUUACAGCAUUGCCAUAAAAUAAUUGCUUUGUUCCGAAAAAUGUGUGUUGGGUGAUCCUCAGAAAAAGUCCAUCUGGAGAACUGGGAAAGGCAUCUCAGUGUUUGGAGAAUAGUCGAUCGGUAAGCGGUUGAAAUAUGCGCCAUCAGCAUGUCCGAAGUGUCUCGAGUCCGCAGAGUGUCGUUGGCUCGGUGUUUCUUCAAUAUCGGAGCUGUAGCAUUGUCGGUCGAAGUCUGGUAGCGAAGUCGUUGUUCCUCAAAUGAAUCUGCGUAUAAUGCGCUCCAGCAGGAACUGCCAAACAAGUUGUAACAUCUGCUGCCAGCAGGUUGCAUUCUGCGCUGUCGUAGUCGGCGAGCCUGAGCUCCGCCCAAAAUCAGGCUUCCACAGCGUUACGCAGCCGCAUAUGUUAAUGAUGUUCACGGAUGUAGUUUCUUCAGGCAUCGGAGCAAACGGCUGAAACACCACAGAAGAUGAAAUGAAUGAUCGUCCAAGGCAAAAUGUGUGAGCUCUGCAAGCUUUCCAUUCAAUUUAUAGGCUAUGACAGGUUACACAUUCCCAUGAAAUUGUCUUUCAGUUAGACACUGCUGCGCUCAUGGGUAGCCAAACACACCUAAUGUAGGAUGAAACAGCGCGGUAUUAAAGUGUUCGCGCAGCGCUGAACGGUCAUAGGAGCGGCUCAAGGAACCGAGCUGCGCGACCGACUCCACGGCGC
ensembl:lncRNA